AUGUUCAGAUGCUUGAAUCUUCUUCUGCUGCUGUUUUGUCUCGUCUAUCACAGCGGAAACACAUCUUUAUAUGUGUCAGGAGAAAAGGGAGGAAACGUCACACUAACAUGUGAACAUGAGGCCAAAAAUUUUGUUCACAUUGAGUUAUUCAGUGAGUCAGGAGACAUAGAUGUGUGUCAGACUGAAGAAUGUAGUGGACGAGUGUUUAAAGAAGGAAACUGUGACGUCGUCAUCAAGAAUCUGAGCUUCAGUGACGCUGGGAAAUACUUUUUGAGAAUCUAUUACAAUAAUGAUCAGACGGAGCUGGAGCGACAAAUCAGGCCGUACCAACUUCAUAUUCAUGAUGAGAUUUCUGUGAAAACAGGCGAGGAGCUAAAGAUGUCUGUUCUGUUGUCUAAUGCUGAUAAAGUGGAGACAAACUCUAGUGGAGAGUGGAAGGAGGUUUGGAGCAGAACUGAUGGGGUUCAGAGCGAUCGAAUGAAUGAAACUGAUGAAAACCUGAUCAUUAAAUCGUUUUUGGACAGAGAUGCAGGAACAUACAGAGUUCUGGACUCUGAAGGAGAAAUCUUGAUCACAGUCACAAUCACAGAAUCAAAGGAAAAACUGGACACUGGACAACACAGAAAAUGGAUUGUGUCAGUUGUAGUGUGUUUGGGGAUUCUGGCUGUGAUUGUGAUUUCUGUCAUCAUAUGGAGACGUCAGCACAGAGAUCACACACAGGUUCCAGCAGAGCCCCCACAGGAACUUCAGGAACUAUAA
ensembl:lncRNA